rnacentral:rRNA from 1 species
AUUAUUUUAAGAUUAUUUUUUAUUGUUGAAAAAAUUAAAAAUAAAUUGUUUUUAACAAAAAUUAAAAUUUAUAAUAAUUCAUUUUUUGGUUUUUUGUUUUAAAUUAAAAUAAUAAAUAUGGGGGAAAAAAAAAUUUUGUUAUAAAUUAUAUUAGUUUAUUUUAACUAAAAAUAUUUUUUAUUAAAUUUGUUUUUUUUAUUUUUUUAUAAAAAAUAUUAAUUUAAUUAUUAUUAUUGAGUUUAAUUUAGUUAUUUUUAAAAAAAUUUUGUAUAAAAUAAAUUUGAUAAUAAAUGUUUUUUAAAUUCUUUGGGGGUUUAGUUUAUGAUUUUUUGUUUCUGCUCAUUGUUAAAUAAAAGCACUUUUAGCGUGAUUAGUCAAAGGUA